GGGGAUUUAGCUCAGUGGCAUAAGCGCCUGCCUUGCAAGCAGGCAGUCAUGAUCCCCG
rfam:Cavia porcellus supercont2_52 genomic scaffold, whole genome shotgun sequence.